GAGAGGAGCAGAGGGAGAUGGAGAAUGAGGACAGAACAGAGAUCGAACAAGAGCAGGUCCACUUCAUCCAUGUGAAAGAGCUUCUGGACGCACUUUGGAACAGCUGUAAUCCCCUUGAAACUGAGAUCUAGUCGGCGUUUACCAUCCAAUGUCAGCUCCAUGCAGCUCUGGGCCAUUUUCAAGCCUAAGAACGUUGCCACACAUCCAAAUGUCACUGCAAAGAGCUGUAAAUAGAUAAGCGGUCAGACUGCUGCUGUUUGACAGGCAAAAAAUCACCAUGCUGCAUCAUGGCUGUCUGUCAGCCGGG